UACGUGAGUGGCAAGCGUUAUCCGGAAUCAUUGGGCGUAAAGCGUCCGUAGGGGGGUGUUCAAGUGAAAUGUUAAAGCCUUCGACCCAAUCGAAGAAAUGCGUUUCAUACUGUUCAUCUAGAAGAUGGGAGAGGUAAAUAGAAUUUCCGGAGUAGGGGUUAUAUCCGUAGAUACCGGAAGGAAUACCAAUAGCGAAGGCAAUUUACUGGCCCAUUCUUGACCCUCAAGUGACGAAAGCGUGGGGAGCAAACAGG
rnacentral:rRNA from 1 species